rnacentral:rRNA from 1 species
AACGAACGCUGGCGGCAUGCCUAACACAUGCAAGUCGAACGAGACCUUCGGGUCGAGUGGCGAACGGGUGCGUAACGCGUGGGAACCUGCCCUUAGGUUCGGAAUAAAUCCCCGAAAGGGGUGCUAAUACCGGAUAAUGUCUUCGGACCAAAGAUUUAUAGCCUUUGGAUGGGCCCGCGUUGGAUUAGCUAGUUGGUAGGGUAAAAGCCUACCAAGGCGACGAUCCAUAGCUGGUCUGAGAGGAUGAUCAGCCACACUGGGACUGAGACACGGCCCAGACUCCGACGGGAGGCAGCAGUGGGGAAUAUUGGACAAUGGGCGAAAGCCUGAUCCAGCAAUGCCGCGUGAGUGAUGAAGGCCUUAGGUUGUAAAGCUCUUUUACCCGGGAUGAUAAUGACAGUACCGUGAGAAUAAGCUCCGGCUAACUCCGUG